rnacentral:rRNA from 1 species
AUUGAACGCUGGCGGCAGGCCUAACACAUGCAAGUCGAACGAGUGGCGGACGGGUGAGUAAUGUCUGGGAAACUGCCCGAUGGAGGGGGAUAACUACUGGAAACGGUAGCUAAUACCGCAUACCAUCGGAUGUGCCCAGCUGGGAUUAGCUAGUAGGUUGGGUAACGGCACACCUAGGCGACGAUCCCUAGCUGGUCUGUGAGGAGGACAAGCCACACUGGAACUGAGACAGGGUCAGGACUCCAACGGGAGGCAGCAGUGGGGAAUAUAGCACAAUGGACGCAAGCCUGAUGCAGCCAGGCCGCGUGUAUGAAGAAGGCCUUCGGGUUGUAAAGUACUUUCAGCGAGGAGGCGUUACUCGCAGAAGAAGCACCGGCUAACUCCGUGCCAGCAGCCGCGGUAAUUC